UUUAAUCAUUACUGUUAGUUUUGGUGUUUAGGCUAAGAUUUAAGAUGACAAUUUGCUAGUUUAGGUUUGGCAUUUAAGUUCAGUAUUUAAAGUUAGGGUUGAGGUUGAGAGUGAGGUAUUCAAGUUUAGGUUUAGGGAUUUUCUUGAAGUUAUUUUUAGAGUUCAGGGUUAAAGUUAGGAGUUGUGUUAGUAUUCAGAUUUAGGUUGGGGUUUUAAGUUUUGCUUAGUGUGUUCUGCUAGGGAUUAGGAUGUUGCAUUAGUUCAGGGUAUGUUUUGGGAUGAUGGUGCAUGUUACAACUUUUAGGUGUAUGGAUGAAGUUAAGAUUUAUAAUUAGGAUUAAGAAUUAAGGGUAGCCCUAGAGUUAGAGUUCAGUAUCACAGGUUUGGUUUUAUUUUUGUGUUUAAUCUUGAGGGCUUGAGUUAGUGCUUCGUUGAGAUUAGUUGGGAUAUGGCAAGACAAUCGGGGUUGUUGCUAGUCUUAAAUCUAGGGGUUAGAGUUAGGCUUAGAGAUUACAUUUAAAUAAUUAGUUUGGCUCUCAUCUGUUUCUGUCAUGGCUAAGUUAAGACUGAAUAACUUUAUUUCUGAAUUGGUAUAUAGAAAGAUCCAAAUGGGCAGUUUAGAGAUUCAUUAUUAUAAAUAAGAAAACCAGAAGUAUGCAUUUUUGAAAAUGAGAAAAUAUUUGAAAAAUAUUAUUAGGCUCUGUGAAUAUUUUUGUCUAUACUUUCUCUUCAGGACAGCUGAUCAAAAGUUGAAGCAAAAGAAGAAUAGAAGUUUUGGAAGUACCAUGUACUAAAGAGAUGAUGGUGUGAUAAAAGCACUGUCAACUCACAAAGAGUACAAUCAGAAAUGCAAGUGAUGGCAAAGACACAGAGUAUGUGAAGCUCAAUCAAGAUAUUAUCCAGACUUCAGAAAUCUACGUUAAUCAUAUGAAAUCCCUUCUGAUUUUAGAAGGAAUAGUGCCAGAUUACAGAAGAACUGAAAUUAUGGCCAACGUGAAACAUCCAGGGCUAAUGGAAUAGCAGCAGUGCUUCUCAAUUUUUUUUAUGAUAAGUGCUGAAGACAACAAGACAACUUGCAAACAUGAAGGAUCUGUUCCAAACCUUUACUGAGUGUGGACUUCAGUACGCGUCCAUCAAGUUAGGAUAAGCAGCUUUGGGAACAAAUGCCAUAUCUAAUCCCAGGAUGUGCAAACUACAAGGAACAAGCACUCAAUACAACCACAUAGGAAGUAUUUGGAUGAAACUCCAGGCAACCUAACUGAAAACGUCAGAUGAAUGCAUCAACAUUCCACAGCUAUCUUCUUCUAUGAAGAUUAAUGCCAAACGAACACUAAUGAGAUGUAUCUAAAACAAACUAGGAAGAAGAACGUAAGACAGACGGAACAGAGAAAGGCAAAUCAAAAGACAGGUUUGUGGCUUCAGAACUCUGGCUUUCUUGGUUGUCUUUCAGUCCUAAGCUCAAAAUAAAAUUCAUUGCUGGUAUACAUGUGUUUACUGGGAAAAAAAUGAGCAAAAGAUUCAUUUAUAUGGGACAGACAGGUCACACAUAGUUGAAUUCACAUGUUUCUGAGUGUUCUUUUUCCAAGAGGAAUGAAACAUUUUGAUAAAUCUUCCACAAAUCUAGAACAAAUUGUUGCCAGUUCAGUUGCUGUAAGCAAAGCUGAGGGAAAAAAAUGGGUCUCUUGAUUUGUAAGAAAUCAGUUAUAUGUUGAUUAUACAGGACAUGGAAGUUCCCCUCAAUCCAGUAAAACUGAUGUCUACAAGAAAUCGCUGGAUUCUCUACACCAGGGUAUGGCCUAAUAUAAAAUGGCUGAAAAUAGGUGGAUAGUUGUACUGGAUGAUCUCAGAGGUCUUUAUCAACUUUGGUGAUUCUACGAGAUUCUAAAAUAGAAACUGAGGUGAGAAGAUAUAAGAAAGGAAGCCGUCAUCCAAAACAGUGACACUAGUUCACUGCCUGUGAAAUCCAGCCCAUUUGUGUCACACUGGCUUUAGGUACAGAUCUUCAGCCACUUGGCUCAUUAAUACUUUCAAGAAAAGGGAACCCAGGACUUUUAUAGAAAGUAAACUUUUGUGAGGAGUAAUGGGUUAAUUUGUGGUACUGCUUUUGGUAUACACAGGGACAGUGAAGAAAUCUCCUGAACGAUAGCCAUAAAUGGUUUCAAAAGCCUAACAGGGCAAACAGAUUCCUAAUCAGAUUGCAAAGUGUACGGAACAAGAGGAGGGAGAAAUUGUAAAGGCAAAUCAGAUGAAAGCUUGAGUGGACUGAGAAGCCUGAAAGGGAGAGAGCAAUGGCUUGAAUUGCAUUUGAAAUGAAAGGGGAAGUCAUUGACGUAGAAAGAUGUGAAGAGAAGCUGGCCAUGAUGACAUCAAUUAAGCGCUUCUUUCUGUGGAGUUAGUGUCAAACAGCACAAUUUAAUGGUGUGCCUUUCUGAUGAGGAGAUAAUUUGAUGCUUGUGUUAGAUGAUAUCUGUUUGUCUAUAUUUUACUAGGCAUGGUUAAUCAUAGCUGAUUUACAAUUAGCUUUAUGAGCCCUUCUCAAGGGGUUGGGUGUUGCAUGUGCAUGUGCUUGUACCUUUCCUGACUAUUCAGGCUUGAGUGAUGCAUAUGUAGUGCAGGAUGGGAUCUAUAUGGAAUGUGAAGGAAAUGCAGCAGUAGGAAGCAUGCAGUGUGGGAAGGGACUCGACAGAAGUAACUCCUGUGAAGAAGAACAUACUAGCACUAGAGUUAUUCUAAUACUAGAACAAAAACAUAAGAAUAAAUCUAGAAUACAAACCUAUGCCUCUGUGGAUUCAGCCAUCCUUACAUCCCAGCUUGAGUAUCUUUGACAUUAACAUAACAGACAACAGCGAGCAACCAAAUUUUGUACCUCUGUGCUGCUCUUUGGAAGGAAGCUUCUGAAAGAAUCUCUGUUGAACAACAGAGAAUUUUCUGGUAAACACUGUUGUAAAUAUAUAAUUGAAUUGCUUUCAGUGGCUGCUUCAAAAGCAAUAUAUGCCUUCAACUUUGAGAAUAAAAUGUUAUUGCAAAAUAGUCUAAUAAAAUGUGUGGCUUCACUGUGAUUCUUGUAGCUUUUGUGUGUUCUACUGGGAUUAUUUUUAAAGAGUGAAACUUCAUUACAUUUAUUAGCUCUUCAGCAAAGUAACAACGGUAAUUACAAAGUCCUUCUUAAGUUAGCAUGUUAUUCUGAUUAAAUGUGGUAAACCUGCUGAGAAUAUCUGCUUCCUCAGAUUUUCUUUCUACUUUGGCAUUCUAAUAGAGACCCAGGGUAAAAUAUCCACAGCUGUGCACGGUUAAAUAUUUCAUGCUGAGUUAUGGAGAACUUCCCAGUGCGUGCAUUUUCUGAGAAUGGUUUGUGUAAUGCUUUUGUUCUGUUUGCAAACAUUACUAUUAGGCUUGUUUUAAGUCUGCUUUGGAAAUGAGCUUAAAUCUUGACAUUCUUUAUGAUUUUCCCUAGAUAGAGAAGAAGAGCUAAAAUAGUGCCUGGGGGCUAAAAUUUGAAGGGGAUAGAUUACUACAUGAGGUCCUCUUGAAAAUAUCUAAGUUUUUGGCCAUCUCAGGUAUUUCAUCCUAAUAUUUAUUGGCUUAAUCAUAUGUAAUCCUACAAUAUGUAUCCUAUGUGUCUUAUAGAAAUUAAACCAUUCACCUCAUACAAAGAUUUACAGGAUUUCACUCUAUUUUACUCAGCAGCAACAACUGAUAUCUGUCCAAGACCCAUUUUUGAGUAGCUUUAAAUAUUUUUUGUGUAUUAGCAUAUGUGAAAUUUGUAGCACUGUGAGGUUACCCCAGGGCAAUCCUGUAUUGUGUUCUAGAAGAUAUUCUCUGGCUACAGAAAUUCUGAAGCUAUUUAAACAACUAUUAUCAGAUAUGUUAUGCACUGUUUAGGUAAUUGCAUUAAUUUGAAACAGUGAUUGCAUUGGUACAUUACAUUUACACUAUCCCUUUCACUGUUACAAAGCUAUCCCACAGAACAACUGUUCCUGUAUACACUAAUUUACUAGGAGUGGUAUUCACUGCCCCUAUUAACUUAAUUGAUUUAACAUAAUCCUGUGGCUGUCUCUGCUUUUACUGCCCUGCUAAAAGUUACCUUCUGCAUGGUGUCUACAACCCAAACCCUCUGGUCAUAGAGUUGGUGAGGCAAAGGCUGAAGGCACUGCCAGUAUACAGCUGGGUUGAAAUGUGGCACAUAAUAUAAAGAAUAAUUUUGAGGAUUAGAUUUAAAGAAUCUGUCUGAAAUUCAGUAGUACAAUGAGUAACUUUUAUUUAGAACAGAGGAACAAACAACAGUUAAAUACUUUUAUAUGUUACAGGUAUUCUCCCCAGUUAUUUAUUAUAUUGAACAAUGGAUAUAAAGUAGCUAGGAGCAAAUUAAGUUUGGAAAUUAGAAGAAGGUUCAUUUGAGAUAAUCUAAUUACUUUUAUAAAGAGGCAUUAAUUAUGCAGUUCUUAUGACAAUGCUUACUAAUCCAGUAGGCCCUUUCGUAGCAAUGUUAUUUCUGAAAGAAAGAAGCAUUUCAUAACAUACAGAAAGAAGUUUUUCUGUAUUCUGUAUUUUCUGUAAAUAUUCCAUAAUAUGCUUUAUAAAAUCUUCUGAAUAUUUCUCCUGUGUGUUUUGAGAAAAGUUCCUAUCUUUCUGCCUACAUCCUCCUUGGUCAUCUCCUACACCCAGAACUCAUUCAGGAACCCUCAUUGAGGGAGGAUGAGAAGUAAAGGAACCAGCUGAGCAGUCCAGAGAGAUUCUCCAUAGUCCUCCCCCACCUUCUGAAUUCUGACAGCCACAAUCAACUCCCAGUGGAAUACACAAAAGAAAAGUGAGGCAAACUGAGAAAUAUAGAAUGACUCAGUUCUUCAGCUGCUUUUUUUCAGAAAGAAAUAGCCAGAGCUAUUAGCUAGUGCUAAUUUACAGCACUAGAGGUUAUGAUUAGGAAAGACUAAAUAUAAAAAAGAAAAAGUGAAGCUCCUAGUGCCUUACCUUGUUAUACCAUUAGGAACUCUAUUCCUGCAAGCGAGGUUUUGCAUAACAAUCUCACGUCCUAUCUGAUCUUCACUAAAGAUAAUCAGUUUAUUACAUAUCCAUAUUAAUCAAAAUCUGCCAUUUUCACACUUUCACACUUAAAAUAAUACCUAUUUCUGAAAUCAGAGAAGGUGUUAUAGAUGUUAUAAUGAAUUCCAUCAUGGAUUUCCUCUCUGAAUAAUCAUUUUGCUUGCUGUGACAAGUUGCUGUGACAUUAUACAUGACAUUUGGAUCCCAGCAAAGUAAGACAUGUAUCUGAAAAUUUGGAGUUACAAUACCCAAAUAAUAUGAAUUUCUGUAUCUGAUUAAGCAACUGCAAGAAAACCCAUAACUUUCAGCAGCUACAGUUCUGGUGCUACUUUCUAAGGCUUAUUAACAGUCUAUAUACAUUGAGUGAAUUGUAUACAUCUUUUGAUUUAAAAGUUCAAAAAUAACCAGGAAAAGACAGAUUUUGUGGAAUGAAAAAUGAAUCAGUUUGUCGCUAAAUUAGGAAGACGUUGUAAUUUGCUAAAUUAGGGAAAGAGAAGAUACAAUAAAUGUCUCAGAAUCUUUUAAAUCUAUUAAUAAGCGUUGCAGUUUUCUACUCUUUAAAAAAAAA